GGAAACUUCGCGGCCGGGGCGCGGGGAGAGCCGGCUGGCUCCGUCGGCAGCACGGUUCCCAGACUGAGGACGGGGGCUCCAGGUGGGAUCCAUAUGUGAUGACAAGAGCUGUAGCGGCCACCUUAGAGUCAAGGAUGAAGGUCAUAUCUGGAGGAUGAUAGCAUCAUCUGAUCUUUGAUCUGUUACAAGAUCUCACAUUGGAGCAUAUUUGCUUGCCUCCUUAUUUUCCAUAUGUAUUACUCCAUGGUAUGUGAAGUGAGAGACUGUCUCAUUCCAAUAACUAAG
rnacentral:lncRNA from 1 species